AAAAGUCAUUAGAACAAUGAACGUUAAAUCUGACGAAGGAGUGAAACUGCAGGAUUCUACACUAGGUCUAUUAGCGUACAUGAACAAUUUAGUACUAAUGGAAGAAUCAUCGAAUGCACUGAAAUCACAAUUCAGUCGUCUACAAAGUGUGACAUCGAAAUUGGGCCUAUAGAUAAACGAAAUCAAAACGGAGUGCAUGGUCGUUGGCAGGCGGGAAAUUGCAGGUGUAUACCCAUUAUUGAAUGUAAGAAACUGUGUUUUUAGUAGAACCAAGGAGUUCAAAUAUUUAGGGUCAGUUAUAACUGAAAAUGAUGAGAUAGUCAAGAAAAUGUCAGCAAGGAUACUUGCCGGCAAUAGAGCUUUCUAUGACCUGGUAAAACUGCUGGGAUCUAGAUUUAUAUCUAUAGACCUUAGAUCCACUUAUAUAUGACAUUACUGCAUACAGUUAUAACUUAUGGAAUGGAAAUAUGGCCACUACGAAAAGAAAAUGAAAGCUGAUAGUCUGGGAGAGAAAAGUUUUAAGGAGGAUUUAUGGACUAAUGAAGGAUAGAAAUAGCAAUGAGUAGAGGAUAAGAACACAUAAUGAGCUAAAAUUACUUUUCAAAAAGUCGAAUAUAUUAGAAACAAUAAGGAAUAAAAGACUUAAGUUGGCUGGACAUGCUUGGCGUAGUCAGAAUCCUUCACUGCGUAUAAUAUUAGAAAAAAGUCUAUCAGGGAAAAAGUCACUGAGAAGACCUUGUAUGAGAUAGGAAGAUCUGGUUAGAAAAGAUGUAAGUGCCUUAGGUGGAGGAUCAGAUUGGAGGGAACGAAAAUCCGACAGAGAUGGCUUGUGGGAAGGGUGUUUGACGAGAUGGUUCUAACGGCCGUUUACCCGAAGAAGAAGAAGAGAUUCACUUAUUCUUAAUUUUUUUUUUUUGCUGUAUACUACCCAGUACUCUAAAUCAGGGGGCACCAAUUAAUAUUUUUAAAGGGCCACAUUAAGAAUCUGGUAAUUUUUCGAGAGCCAUAAAAAUUCUAAGUAUAUAUAUUUUAUAUCAUAG